rnacentral:rRNA from 1 species
CCUACGGGAGGCAGCAGUGAGGAAUAUUGGUCAAUGGACGAGAGUCUGAACCAGCCAAGUAGCGUGAAGGAUGACUGCCCUAUGGGUUGUAAACUUCUUUUAUAUGGGAAUAAAACGUUCAACGUGUGGGAUUUUGUAUGUACCAUAUGAAUAAGGAUCGGCUAACUCCGUGCCAGCAGCCGCGGUAAUACGGGGGAUCCGAGCGUUAUCCGGAUUUAUUGGGUUUAAAGGGAGCGUAGGUGGAUUGUUAAGUCAGUUGUGAAAGUUUGCGGCUCAACCGUAAAAUUGCAGUUGAAACUGGCAGUCUUGAGUACAGUAGAGGUGGGCGGAAUUCGUGGUGUAGCGGUGAAAUGCUUAGAUAUCACGAAGAACUCCGAUUGCGAAGGCAGUUCACUGGACUGCAACUGACACUGAGGCUCGAAAGUGUGGGUAUCAAACAGGAUUAGAUACCCUUGUAGUC